ACCUGGCUGGCUUAGGGGUAAGAACAUGUGACUCUUGAUCUCGGGGUCAUGAGUUCAAGUCCCAUGUUGGGUA
rnacentral:tRNA from 1 species